rnacentral:rRNA from 1 species
UGCGAUACGUAAUGUGAAUUGCAGAAUUCAGUGAAUCAUCGAAUCUUUGAACGCACAUUGCGCCCCCUGGUAUUCCGGGGGGCAUGCCUGUCCGAGCGUCAUUACUGCCCUCAAGCACGGCUUGUGUGUUGGACCGUCGUCCCCCCCCCCAUUGUCUCCCUCUCUCUCGGGAGGGGAGGAGGGGGGACGGGCCCGAAAGGCAGUGGCGGCACCGGUAUCCGGUCCUCGAGCGCAUGGGGCUUUGUCACCCGCUCUGUAGGCCGGGCCGGGGCCCGCCGGCUCCCAACUUUUAUUAUUUUUUUGAAGGUUGACCUCGGAUCAGGUAGGGAUACCCGCUGAACUUAAGCAUAUCAAUAAGCGGAGGAAAAGAAACCAACCGGGAUUGCCUCAGUAACGGCGAGUGAAGCGGCAACAGCUCAAAUUUGAAAGCUGGCUCCUUCGGGGUCCGCAUUGUAAUUUGGAGAGGAUGCUUCGGGUGCGGCCCCCGUCUAAGUGCUCUGGAACGGGCCGUCGGAGAGGGUGAGAAUCCCGUCUGGGGCGGGGAGCCCCGUGCCCGUGUGAAGCUCCUUCGAAGAGUCGAGUUGUUUGGGAAUGCAGCUCUAAAUGGGUGGUAAAUUUCAUCUAAAGCUAAAUACAGGCCGGAGACCGAUAGCGCACAAGUAGAGUGAUCGAAAGAUGAAAAGCACUUUGAAAAGAGAGUUAAACAGCACGUGAAAUUGUUGAAAGGGAAGCGCUUGCGAUCAGACUCGCCCGCGGGCUUCAGCCGGCACUCGUGCCGGUGUACUUGCUCGCGGGUGGGCCAGCGUCGGUUUGGGCGGCCGGUCAAAGGCCCCCGGAAUGUAGCGCCCCACGGGGCGUCUUAUAGCCGGGGGUGCCAUGCGGCCAGCCCGGACCGAGGAACGCGCUUCGGCACGGACGCUGGCGUAAUGGUCGCAAGCGACCCGUCUUGAAACACGGACCAAGGAGUCUAACAUCUACGCGAGUGUUUGGGUGGCAAACCCAUGCGCGCAGUGAAAGCGAACGGAGGUGGGAACCCCCCCGCGGGGUGCACCAUCGACCGAUCCUGAUGUCCUCGGAUGGAUUUGAGUACGAGCGUAGCUGUGGGGACCCGAAAGAUGGUGAACUAUGCCUGAAUAGGGCGAAGCCAGGGGAAACUCUGGUGGAGGCUCGCAGCGGUUCUGACGUGCAAAUCGAUCGUCAAAUUUGGGUAUAGGGGCGAAAGACUAAUCGAACCAUCUGGUAGCUGGUUCCUGCCGAAGUUUCCCUCAGGAUAGCAGUAACGCGAAUUUCAGUUUUAUGAGGUAAAGCGAAUGAUUAGAGGCCUUGGGGUUGAAACAACCUUAACCUAUUCUCAAACUUUAAAUAUGUAAGAAGCCCUUGUUGCUUAGUUGAACGUGGGCAU